UACGGAGGGUGCAAGCGUUAAUCGGAAUUACUGGGCGUAAAGCGCACGCAGGUGGCUGAGUCAGUCGAUUGUGAAAGCCCUGGGCUUAACCUAGGAAUUGCAGUCGAUACUACUCAGCUAGAGUAUGGGAGAGGGCAGUGGAAUUCCCGGUGUAGCGGUGAAAUGCGUAGAUAUCUGGAGGAACACCAAUGGCGAAGGCAACUUCCUGGGGCAAUACUGACACUGAUGUGCGAAAGCGUGGGGAGCAAACAGG
rnacentral:rRNA from 1 species